UCACUUUUUUCUCCCAAAAUCAAAUAUAUAAACAAAAGCCCUAAAAACCCAGUUGAGAAAACAAUGUAUUUAACAGGAAUAAGACUUGACUUUAAAGGAUUUUGCUGGGUUUAAUUAAGGAAACAAGGAAGGCGUAUGCCAGUAAGACAUCAGCUAAAAUGCGCUGGCAGUGUCAGUGUAAAGAAGAAUUGNGUUUAAUUAAGGAAACAAGGAAGGCGUAUGCCAGUAAGACAUCAGCUAAAAUGCGCUGGCAGUGUCAGUGUAAAGAAGAAUUGCGAGACGAAGAAGAAGACUCCAUAGGAAUGCGUGCGAAAAGAAACACAUGAACAUGGUCCGCAGUACUCCCCUACCACUCCUUCUUCAACGAUACUCCCACUCAGUACAAAUUUUUUUGAACUCUGAAAAGAAAAAUAAAAAUAAAAAUGCAAUUCUUAUCUUAUUAUUAUCUGGAUUCAGGAGAAUGGGACCCUAUCUUUUCAGGUUUUGAGGUUUUGUUCAAUGCAAAAGCCUCUAAAAAUC
rnacentral:lncRNA from 1 species